GCUCCUUCAACUUCUGCUUGUGGCACUUGAAAGGUCCAGAAAGACAAGUCUCUAUUCUUCACAAAGACUUUCAUUACAAGGCUGUUCAGAGUCCAUUGAUGAAAGCCUUUAAAUGAGAAGAAGCAUGUGAUGUUGACAAAGCUAUGGCAAAUUAGUCCAAAACCAGAACUGAGUGAAGAAUUCGGCAAAGAUUUUGGCUUAUCCUUAAAUCUGUUAUGAUUAUAUUAUGUUUGCAAAUAUUACAGUCACUCUUCUGGGGUGAGGGAGUCAGAACUUUUAUUUUUGACAACAUUUCCUGCAAGGCAGUGGUGAAUAAUCAUGUAAAUGUGGUAUUUUCAAAAAGCAUUAUACUGAAGCUGCUCCUGUAGACAUUCAGAUGUGGCUGAAAAGAGAGUCAAUACAAUAUGGCUCUGACUAACUAAUCAUGUAGCUCAAAUAUUGGAUCUCAGAUAAGUGAACAAAUAGUUGUGGUGAUCAACUUGUGAGCCAGUCGCGGACAGAUGUUUGCCUGUGGAAAACAUUCAGCUAAUAUCAAAAUGAAUGGAGGAAGCAGAAAGAGCAGUCCCUGAUUUAGUGCAGUAUCCAAUGUCAUUUCUCAAGACACUGUCCCAUGACAGCAAGGAAUGCUGGCCUUGUUCUCCUUAAGAAAAUGGUCCAAAACAAUGCAGGCUAAUAAAGCACAGUCUUGAAGGCUCAGAAACCUGGAAGCAAUGAAAACAACAACAAAAAAAUCACACGAUAUUUUUAAAUAAUGAUUUCAAAAUAAGUCAGAUAAAUAAAUCUGACUGACAAUUUCUGGGCACAUGGCUGGGCAGCACAGCAGGCUCAGACAAGCCACGGCAGCGUGAGAUUUGGUGGCUGAAAGUGUCUGAAUUCCCUUGCAGGAGCUGCAGCCGUGCUGGCUCAGCCGGUGGCACACACAGAAAACAACACACCAUGUCCGGGCUGGUGCACGGUGCUGUCCUUAGGUCAGCAGAGAGAGCAUCCCAGUGGCUCUCCAUGUUGAGGGUUGGCUCCAUCAGUGCUCCAGCCGAACACCUCCACGUCCACCAGUUUGUGUAGCCACUGAAACACAGCCACGACCCAGAACCAGCCAGGGAGCUGGAUGAUUCAAGAGCAGGCUGUCGGCAGCUUGGAGAGUGCGAGUGAAACACCAGCGCUUGGAAAACUGAACAACAUUUUUCAGCUUGUCCGCAGCUCCCCGAAAGGAACGCUCCCCAAAGCAAAACUCCAAGGCUGGAUGUAUUGUAAAUGAUAUAAAAUAAUUGUGAGAUUGGCAAGCCAGGCCAAAAAUGUAGCUGCACAAAGCUCUUUCCCAGACAGCUGGAAGUGUGCGUGCAUGCCUGUAAGGGACUUUCAUCCCCUUCACAGCCCCAGCACCUGCUUCCUCCCCAGCUGGGCAGGGAGAGGAGGAGCAGGGCUGAGCCGAGCUCAGGUACAGUCUGUCCCCGGGAGGUAUUUUCCGAGACUGCGUGUCCUCAGGGAAGUGCUGCAGAUCCUGUGCUCUGAGCGUGCCUUCCUGCUUGGCACCAAAAUUCCCCAUUAGUGUGAGCGACAGGAGCUGUGCUGCCAAAAGGAGAUAGUUUAAUUACUGCUUCACACCCUCCUCCCUUAUUGAAGUGGCUGUAAAACUGCUCACUGCUGAGCCUGAGCCAUCCCAAGGAGUUGAGUGAGUGAAAUAUUUAAGAGGGCUAUUUAUUUAGGCAUCAGACCCACAUGCUUCAUUCACAGCUGUCUGCGCAGCUCUGAAGCCAUCGAGUAUUUCCAUAUCAAAUAAUACGAUUUAUUAGGACUGUCUUGAGUCUGUAUGUACUCUCAACCAUCUCCACAGACCAAGUCAUGGAAUCGGAUACAAGAGGAGCUGGUUCAAAUCAAGGGGCGGCAAAGUGAGACUUCCCCAGACUGAAAGGCGCUUGCACCAGGGCUUCUGAACUCCGCUGUUGAAUGUAACAGCUUUCAUGAAACCUUCAAGGGUGGGACAAGACAGGAUUAGUUUAUAGGGAAACAAGGAAGUCAGCUUGCAUUUACUUGCUUAGAGCACUAGUUUGAUCAUAGCAUCUCCAGAAAUGUUUGUCUCAGUAAAAAGCCAGUUCAGCUUCUGCAAGAUGGGAAUUCCCUUGUGCUAUAUGCCAGCACACUGUAUAUGGAGCUGCUCAUAGCCAGUAGUCUGGUGAGGCCCUCAGCAAGGAAGAGGGUAUGAUUAAUAGACAAACAAAGAGGCAGAUGGGAAUAGACAGCAUGAGAUGCUCAGACCACCAGGAAGGCUGGUUUUCAAGAUUAAAAAAAAAAACAAUACUUGGGUUCAAUUGCCAAGCUCACUUUUGGGAAGGGAAACUAGUUUUUUUUUUUUUUUAAAGAAAAGAAAAGAAAAGAAAAGAAAAGAAAAGAAAAGAAAAGAAAAGAAAA